rnacentral:rRNA from 1 species
CUCGAGUGGCGAACGGGUGAGUAACACGUGGGUGAUCUGCCCUGCACUUCGGGAUAAGCUUGGGAAACUGGGUCUAAUACCGGAUAGGAACCAUCUUUAGUGUGGUGGUUGGAAAGUUUUUUCGGUGUAGGAUGAGCUCGCGGCCUAUCAGCUUGUUGGUGGGGUAAUGGCCUACCAAGGCGGCGACGGGUAGCCGGCCUGAGAGGGUGUACGGCCACAUUGGGACUGAGAUACGGCCCAGACUCCUACGGGAGGCAGCAGUGGGGAAUAUUGCACAAUGGGCGCAAGCCUGAUGCAGCGACGCCGCGUGGGGGAUGAAGGCCUUCGGGUUGUAAACUCCUUUCGCUAGGGACGAAGCUUUUUUGUGACGGUACCUAGAUAAGAAGCACCGGCUAACUACGUGCCAGCAGCCGCGGUAAUACGUAGGGUGCGAGCGUUGUCCGGAAUUACUGGGCGUAAAGGGCUCGUAGGUGGUUUGUCGCGUCGUCUGUGAAAUUCUGGGGCUUAACUCCGGGCGUGCAGGCGAUACGGGCAUAACUUGAGUGCUGUAGGGGUAACUGGAAUUCCUGGUGUAGCGGUGAAAUGCGCAGAUAUCAGGAGGAACACCGAUGGCGAAGGCAGGUUACUGGGCAGUUACUGACGCUGAGGAGCGAAAGCAUGGGUAGCGAACAGGAUUAGAUACCUGGUAGUCCAUGCCGUAAACGGUGGGCGCUAGGUGUGAGGGUCUUUCUACGACUUUCGUGCCGUAGCUAACGCAUUAAGCGCCCCGCCUGGGGAGUACGGCCGCAAGGCUA